rnacentral:tRNA from 1 species
GCAGGGGGCGCAGUGGUUACAGCUGUUGUCUUGCAAAAAGCGGACCUGGGUUUGAAUCCCACCUCCUGCA